rnacentral:hammerhead_ribozyme from 1 species
AUCCAGCUGACGAGUCCCAAAUAGGACGAAACUGGUUCAUGGGU